AAAUACUUGUAAAUGGAGUUUCCUUGUGAAUCCAAACUUUCUCCAAUUCAUUAGCAAUAAAACCUCUUCAAUUUAUCCCCUUUAGAUACCCAGAAAUUGUUCAAAAACCCUCUUCAAUUAUUCGACUUUCUUCUUUUCUGGUAGGAUCAAAGUUUCAGUCUUGUCAUGGCCAAAAGUUCUUUCAAGCUUGAACACCCUUUGGAGAGGAGGCAGUCAGAAUCUUCUCGCAUCCGAGAGAAGUAUCCUGAUCGAAUUCCGGUGAUUGUUGAGAAGGCAGAGAAGAGUGAUGUCCCUGACAUCGAUAAAAAGAAAUACCUUGUCCCAGCUGAUUUGACUGUUGGUCAAUUUGUUUAUGUGGUGCGGAAGAGGAUCAAGCUCGGUGCUUCAAAGGCCAUCUUUGUCUUUGUCAAGAACACUUUGCCUCCAACAGCUUCUCUGAUGUCUG
rnacentral:misc_RNA from 1 species